AUUGAACGCUGGCGGCAUGCCUUACACAUGCAAGUCGAACGGUAACAGGUCUUCGGAUGCUGACGAGUGGCGAACGGGUGAGUAAUACAUCGGAACGUGCCUAGUAGUGGGGGAUAACUACUCGAAAGAGUGGCUAAUACCGCAUGAGAUCUACGGAUGAAAGCAGGGGAUCGCAAGACCUUGUGCUACUAGAGCGGCCGAUGGCGGAUUAGGUAGUUGGUGGGAUAAAAGCUUACCAAGCCGACGAUCUGUAGCUGGUCUGAGAGGACGAUCAGCCACACUGGGACUGAGACACGGCCCAGACUCCUACGGGAGGCAGCAGUGGGGAAUUUUGGACAAUGGGCGCAAGCCUGAUCCAGCAAUGCCGCGUGCAGGAUGAAGGCCUUCAGGUUGUAAACUGCUUUUGUACGGAACGAAAAGCCCCGGGUUAAUACCCUGGGGUCAUGACGGUACCGUAAGAAUAAGCACCGGCUAACUACGUGCCAGCCGCCGCAGUAA
rnacentral:rRNA from 1 species